UGAAGGUACCUGGCGAAUAAGCCACGGCUAACUACGUGCCAGCAGCCGCGGUAAUACGUAGGUGGCAAGCGUUGUCCGGAUUUAUUGGGUUUAAAGGGUGCGUAGGCGGUCUUAUAAGUCAGUGCUGAAAUAUCCCGGCUUAACCGGGAGGGUGGCAUUGAUACUGUAGGACUUGAGUAAAGUUGAGGUUGGCGGAAUUGACGGUGUAGCGGUGAAAUGCUUAGAUAUCGUCAAGAACACCUAUAGCGAAGGCAGCUAACUAAGCUUUAACUGACGCUGAGGCACGAAAGUGUGGGGAUCAAACAGGAUUAGAUACCCUGGUAGUCCACACUGUAAACGUUGAUUACUCGCUGUUGGCGAUACACAGCCAGCGGCUUAGCGCAAGCGAUAAGUAAUCCACCUGGGGAGUACGCCGGCAACGGUGAAACUCAAAGGAAUUGACGG
rnacentral:rRNA from 1 species